UUAGGGCAACAUCUUCCUUUGGCUACUAUUUCACGUGAACGUUGAUGUCUUUUGACAUUUUUACAAUUGUAGAUUGUGAAACAUAAUAACAUCGAAUUUAAUUGGAAUACGUUAGGUUUAGCUAUUUUAUUGCGCUGUUGGCCGUCAAAGGCGUGCAAGCGGUCACAAAUAAGUAACUUUUCACCGAAGUCAGAGACUGUUGACCAUGGCGGAACCAAUGAUGGAUGCAGUGUGCGCAUUCCAGUGUUUAUUUUACGUCAUUGGGGUGUACCCUGUCUCCUGCCCGAUGACAGCUGGAAUUGGCUCCACCACUCCCGUGACCCUUGUGAGGAUAAGCGGGUCAGAAACUGGAUGGAUUGUUCGCCAGCUACUUUCACUUUUACUUUUUGCAGUGAGAUUUGUGCUGACACAACCACAAGUUCUUCAGCAAUGAAUCAUCAUUAAAUCAACAACAAAUCAGAUCAUUGUCGUGCUGCGUGAUACAAGAGCGGUUGGGUUCGAGGGUACUAACUGAUGGCGGACAUUUUCCUUGAAGAUUUUUUGGUACACACUGGAAACCACUGGAAAAAAAACCCAACAACAACAAUGAAUUACAUUAUGAAAACCUUUGGAUGAACACGCAGGGUGAGGCCUACUCAAGAAACACACAGAGUC